AGACUCCCAGGCCUGGCUGGCCCCGGGUGGAUAAGGCCAGCCGGCCCCCUCUACACGCUGCCCAGGCUUGAGACCUGGGGCUGGGGAGCUCCCCACUCCUGGAAGCCAAGAGGACAGACAAGUGUACGUACUGCGAGGACAGCGAAGCCGAGCCUUGGGGUCAGACCUGAGUCCAAUCCCACCUCCACCUUGAACUAGCUGGGAGACCUUGGGCAGGUCCCUUCCCCCCUCGGGGCCUCAGUUUCCACUUCUGUAAACAAGGAAAUGAUACCUCUGUCCUGCGAUGGCUGUGAUGGUGAGUGCUGUCUGUGAGGCAUCCAGCCGUGGGAGGUACCUGAAUGUGGUGGUUCCAAACCCCGACCUCUGCGCCCUCAUUCUCCCCUGCCCGACUCCCCUCGAUGCGGGCGGCCGCUGGGUGGCGAGGCAGGGAGACUGCAGCCCACGACCGCUUUACGUACCAUUCAAUCCGCAGACCAGCCGACCUCCAUCCUGGGCUGCGAUGGGGACGUCUGGAGCUCUGUCACAUCCCGUGGAACUCCAGCCUUCCUGUUCAUUUCAGGAAAUGCAGGGGAACGGAAGUGAACUCCGGGCUCCUGUGAGCAGACGCUGCAGUAAAAGGACACAGACUUCUCACAGCCCAAAGAGGUGGGUUCUGGUAAAGCCCAGCUUAGAAGAGGAAAUCGAGGCGCAGAGAGGGCCAGGCCCACAGCUGGUAAGGUGGCCCAGCUGGAAAGUGGUGGAGUCCCAACGAGAACGCACACCUGUCCGUCUGCCUCCGAUGCCUUUAGCUGCUUCCGUUGCCCCACCUGACCUAGAGCCACAGAAAGGAACACGGCCUGCUGCUCGGAAUCAGGGCGCCCUGGGAGAGAGGGGUCCACCCACCUUGUUGCCUAUCCUCAUUUUAUUGUAA
rnacentral:lncRNA from 1 species